rnacentral:rRNA from 1 species
CCUACGGGAGGCAGCAGUGGGGGAUAUUGCACAAUGGGGGGAACCCUGAUGCAGCGACGCCGCGUGGGUGAAGGAGUGCUUCGGCAUGUAAAGCCCUAUCGGCAGGGAAGAAGCAAGACGGUACCUGACUAAGAAGCCCCGGCUAACUACGUGCCAGCAGCCGCGGUAAUACGUAGGGGGCGAGCGUUAUCCGGAUUCACUGGGUGGAAAGGGGGCGUAGACGGCCAUGCAAGCCAGGGGGGAAAGCCCGGGGCCCAACCCCGGGACUGCCCGUGGAACUGCAUGGCUGGAGUGCGGGAGGGGCAGGCGGAAUUCCUGGUGUAGCGGUGAAAUGCGUAGAUAUCAGGAGGAACACCGGCGGCGAAGGCGGCCUGCUGGACCGCGACUGACGUUGAGGCUCGAAAGCGUGGGGAGCGAACAGGAUUAGAUACCCCUGUAGUC